rnacentral:rRNA from 1 species
UGCACAAUGGGCGGAAGCCUGAUGCAGCAACGCCGCGUGAGGGAUGACGGCCUUCGGGUUGUAAACCUCUUUUAGCAGGGAAGAAGCGAGAGUGACGGUACCUGCAGAAAAAGCGCCGGCUAACUACGUGCCAGCAGCCGCGGUAAUACGUAGGGCGCAAGCGUUAUCCGGAAUUAUUGGGCGUAAAGAGCUCGUAGGCGGUUUGUCGCGUCUGCUGUGAAAUCCCGAGGCUCAACCUCGGGCCUGCAGUGGGUACGGGCAGACUAGAGUGCGGUAGGGGAGAUUGGAAUUCCUGGUGUAGCGGUGGAAUGCGCAGAUAUCAGGAGGAACACCGAUGGCGAAGGCAGAUCUCUGGGCCGUAACUGACGCUGAGGAGCGAAAGGGUGGGGAGCAAACAGGCUUAGAUACCCUGGUAGUCCACCCCGUAAACGUUGGGAACUAGUUGUGGGGUCCAUUCCACGGAUUCCGUGACGCAGCUAACGCAUUAAGUUCCCCGCCUGGGGAGUACGGCCGCAAGGCUAAAACUCAAAGGAAUUGACGGGGACCCGCACAAGCGGCGGAGCAUGCGGAUUAAUUCGAUGCAACGCGAAGAACCUUACCAAGGCUUGACAUAUACGAGAACGGGCCAGAAAUGGUCAACUCUUUGGACACUCGUAAACAGGUGGUGCAUGGUUGUCGUCAGCUCGUGUCGUGAGAUGUUGGGUUAAGUCCCGCAACGAGCGCAACCCUCGUUCUAUGUUGCCAGCACGUAAUGGUGGGAACUCAUGGGAUACUGCCGGGGUCAACUCGGAGGAAGGUGGGGAUGACGUCAAAUCAUCAUGCCCCUUAUGUCUUGGGCUUCACGCAUGCUACAAUGGCCGGUACAAUGGGCAGCGAUACCGUGAGGUGGAGCGAAUCCCAAAAAGCCGGUCCCAGUUCGGAUUGAGGUCUGCAACUCGACCUCAUGAAGUCGGAGUCGCUAGUAAUCGCAGAUCA